rnacentral:rRNA from 1 species
UACGGAGGGUGCAAGCGUUGUCCGGAUUUAUUGGGUUUAAAGGGUGCGUAGGCGGCCUUCUAAGCCAGCGGUGAAAACCCCGCGCUCAACGCGGGACGUGCCGUUGGAACUGGGAGGCUUGAGUCCCGGAGGGGAAGGCGGAAUUUGUGGUGUAGCGGUGAAAUGCAUAGAUACCACAAGGAACCCCGGAGGCGAAGGCGGCCUUCUGGCCGGCGACUGACGCUGAUGCACGAAAGCGCGGGUAGCGAACGGG